rnacentral:rRNA from 1 species
GACGAACGCUGGCGGCGUGCUUAACACAUGCAAGUCGAACGGAAAGGCCCUGCUUUUGUGGGGUGCUCGAGUGGCGAACGGGUGAGUAACACGUGAGUAACCUGCCCUUGACUUUGGGAUAACUUCAGGAAACUGGGGCUAAUACCGGAUAGGAGCUCCUGCUGCAUGGUGGGGGUUGGAAAGUUUCGGCGGUUGGGGAUGGACUCGCGGCUUAUCAGCUUGUUGGUGGGGUAGUGGCUUACCAAGGCUUUGACGGGUAGCCGGCCUGAGAGGGUGACCGGCCACAUUGGGACUGAGCUCCGGCCCAGACUCCUACGGGAGGCAGCAGUGGGGAAUAUUGCACCAUGGGCGGAAGCCUGAUGCAGCAACGCCGCGUGCGGGAUGACGGCCUUCGGGUUGUAAACCGCUUUCGCCUGUGACGAAGCGUGAGUGACGGUAAUGGGUAAAGAAGCACCGGCUAACUACGUG